rnacentral:lncRNA from 1 species
GUCUUUCUGGCUGCUCCCAACUUCGCACUCUACUUCUGCUCCAUCCUAGGGUGCCUCUGCAGCAGCAAAUGUGGCUGUUCAACAAUCUGAAGUCUUUGAUUGUGAACAGUGCUAACCAGCCCUGGGAAAGAAAAGCAGCUCUCUUCCCUGCUCUCCAGGGCUAGCAGAUGAACACUGUGGGGUCGAGCCCAGUCUGGCCAGAGCAAGUCCAGGAAAAGGUGCUUCUCACUCUUCAGGGCACUGCUCAGAUCCCCAAGCAUAAUUUUGGAAACUCUGAUCCAGAACCCUGGAUCGCAGG